GAGUUCUCCCUGACUCCUUGAGAGUCCUGAAGGAACGUUGAAGACGACGACGUUGAUAGGCCGGGUGUGUAAGCGCAGCGAUGCGUUGAGCUAACCGGUACUAAUGAACCGUGAGGCUUAACCUUACAACGCCGAAG
rnacentral:rRNA from 1 species